AUACGGAGGGGGCAAGCGUUGUUCGGAAUUACUGGGCGUAAAGGGCGCGUAGGCGGAUUAUCAAGUCAGAGGUGAAAGCCCUGGGCUCAACCUGGGAACUGCCUUUGAAACUGAUAGUCUUGAGUCCGAGAGAGGAUGGCGGAAUUCCCAGUGUAGAGGUGAAAUUCAUAGAUAUUGGGAAGAACACCAGUGGCGAAGGCGGCCAUCUGGCUCGGUACUGACGCUGAGGCGCGAAAGCGUGGGGAGCAAACAGGAUUAGAUACCCCGGUAGUCC
rnacentral:rRNA from 1 species